CGUCUAUAUACGUAUAGCAUAUCAAUAAGCGGAGGAAAAGAAACUAACUAGGAUUCCCUCAGUAACGGCGAGUGAAGCGGGAAGAGCUCAAAUUUGAAAUCUUCAAGGUUCUACCUUGACGAAUUGUAGUUUAAAGAAGUGUUUUCUGUUGGAGUUUUGGUAAAAGUUCUUUGGAAUAGGACAUCAUAGAGGGUGAGAAUCCCGUAUUUGACCAUUAUUUCCAACUUUGUGAUACACUUUCAAAGAGUCGGAUUGUUUGGGAAUGCAGUCCAAAAUGGGUGGUAAAUUUCAUCUAAAGCUAAAUACUGGCGAGAGACCGAUAGCGAACAAGUACCGUGAGGGAAAGAUGAAAAGAACUUUGAAAAGAGAGUUAAACAGUACGUGAAAUUGUCAAAAGGGAAGCGUUUGACACCAGUGUUGUUUUCUCGAAAAUCAAUUAAAAAUGAUGGGAUUUUGUGUUGUAUUGACUUUAUCAGCUUUCUGCACUUUUUUCCUGUCUUUUUUAAUGCACUUUUCGUUUAACAAGUCAACAUCAAUUUCUUUUGUUGUAAAAGGGUCAUUGGAAGGUGGCUUUCUUUUCGGAGAAAGUGUUUAUAGCCUUUGACUUCUGCAAUCGGAGAGAUUGAGGUCUGCAGCGUAGAUCCUUCGGGGUUAGAUGCAUUUGUGCUAAGUUAUAGCCUUUCAUAGACAACUUGUUGACUAUGAUCAGUCAUGUAGCUUACUCGCUUAUGUUAUUUUACCUACGCUUAGGAUGUUGACGAUCAGCUGAGCGCG
rnacentral:rRNA from 1 species